rnacentral:rRNA from 1 species
CCUACGGGAGGCAGCAGUGGGGGAUAUUGCACAAUGGGGGGAACCCUGAUGCAGCGACGCCGCGUGGGUGAAGAAGCGCCUCGGCGCGUAAAGCCCUGUCAGCAGGGAAGAAAAUGACGGUACCUGAAGAAGUAGCCCCGGCUAAAUACGUGCCAGCAGCCGCGGUAAUACGUAGGGGGCAAGCGUUAUCCGGAUUGAUUGGGUUUAAAGGGGGCGCAGAUGGCUAUUCAGGCCAGGAGGGAAAACUCGGGGCUCAACCCCGGGACUGCUCUUGGAACUGCGUGGCUUGAGUGCAGGAGGGGCAGGCGGAAUGCCUGGUGUAGCGGUGAAAUGCGUAGAUAUCAGGAGGAACACCGGUUGCGAAGGCAGCCUACUGGACUUCAACUGACGUUGAGGCACGAAAGCGUGGGGAGCAAACAGGAUUAGAUACCCGUGUAGUC